ACGUUAUAUGCUUAUAUAGUUAAUAUAUACUAAUACAAUAUUUAAUAAAUAUUAUAUAAUGUAUACUUAAUCUGUUAAUAAUUAUUUACAAUUUAAGAAUCUGGCAUAACAUAAAUCAAAAUGUUCAAAGUAAAUUAAUCGUUAAAAAUUGUAUAAAAGGAUAUCACUUUUAAAAAUUCAUUAGAUUAACUAGAUUGAAUUAAAUUAUUUUUAAUACAUCAACAAUCCAAAUCAAACAUGAAUUUUAAAUUUACUGUUGCAAUGGCAAUUGUCAUCGUCGUGAGUUUGUCCAAUUUAGGACAAGUCCAAGCAGAUGAUCCUCCAGUACCUCCAACUACUACUUCAGCUCCAACUCCAACUUCUUCCACUCCCCAAUGCCCAAGUUAUCCUUCAUCAACUGGAUCAACUACAACACCAUCUACAACACCACCUACAACACCACCAGCAACGUCUCCAUAAUUAUAUUAAAUAUUUUUACUAUAAAUUCUGAUAUAAAUCAACAGUUGAUUUUAUAUACUUGCUAAUUAUACCCAUUGAAGACGCAAAUACAGUAUUAUGCACACUUAGAUGUACUAAUAUAAUAUGUAUUUCGUUAUUAUAAUUUGUAUCACUGCACAUAAUAAUUAUAAAUGCCUUUGAAAAUUAAAAUAUUAAAUUGUUUUUAUUAUA